rnacentral:rRNA from 1 species
GAUGAACGCUGGCGGUAUGCCUAACACAUGCAAGUCGUACGAGAGUUUUUAACUCUAGUGGCGGACGGGUGAGUAACACGUGAGAAUUUGCCUUUAGGAGGGGGAUAACAAUUGGAAACGAAUGCUAAUACCCCAUAUGCUUUUGAGUGAAACGGAUUUAUCCGCCUAGAGAGAAGCUCGCGGCUGAUUAGCUUGUUGGUAAGGUAAGAGCUUACCAAGGCGACGAUCAGUAUCUGGUUUGAGAGGACGAUCAGACACACUGGAACUGAGACACGGUCCAGACUCCUACGGGAGGCAGCAGUGGGGAAUUUUCCGCAAUGGGCGAAAGCCUGACGGAGCAAUACCGCGUGAGGGAAGACUGCCUAUGGUUGUAAACCUCUUUUUCAGGGUAGGAAUAAAUGACGUGUACCUGAAGAAUAAGCAUCGGCUAACUCCGUG